GUGGGGAAUCUUGCGCAAUGGGCGAAAGCCUGACGCAGCCAUGCCGCGUGAAUGAUGAAGGUCUUAGGAUUGUAAAAUUCUUUCACCGGGGACGAUAAUGACGGUACCCGGAGAAGAAGCUCCGGCUAACUUCGUGCCAGCAGCCGCGGUAAUACGAAGGGGGCUAGCGUUGCUCGGAAUUACUGGGCGUAAAGGGCGCGUAGGCGGACAGCUUAGUCAGAGGUGAAAGCCCAGGGCUCAACCUUGGAAUUGCCUUUGAUACUGGCUGUCUGGAGUUUGGGAGAGGUGAGUGGAACUCCGAGUGUAGAGGUGAAAUUCGUAGAUAUUCGGAAGAACACCAGUGGCGAAGGCGACUCACUGGCCCAAUACUGACGCUGAGGCGCGAAAGCGUGGGGAGCAAACAGGAUUAGAAACCCCGGUAGUCC
rnacentral:rRNA from 1 species